AGACUUGAGUGCAGAAGAGGAGAGUGGAAUUCCAUGUGUAGCGGUGAAAUGCGUAGAUAUAUGGAGGAACACCAGUGGCGAAGGCGGCUCUCUGGUCUGUAACUGACGCUGAGGCUCGAAAGCGGGGGGAGCGAACAGGAUUAGAUACCCUGGUAGUCCACGCCGUAAACGAUGAGUGCUAAGUGUUGGAGGGUUUCCGCCCUUCAGUGCUGCAGCAAACGCAUUAAGCACUCCGCCUGGGGAGUACGACCGCAAGGUUGAAACUCAAAGGAAUUGACGGGGGCCCGCACAAGCGGUGGAGCAUGUGGUUUAAUUCGAAGCAACGCGAAGAACCUUACCAGGUCUUGACAUCCUUUGACCACUCUAGAGAUAGAGCUUCCCCUUCGGGGGCAAAGUGACAGGUGGUGCAUGGUUGUCGUCAGCUCGUGUCGUGAGAUGUUGGGUUAAGUCCCGCAACGAGCGCAACCCUUAUUGUUAGUUGCCAUCAUUUAGUUGGGCACUCUAGCGAGACUGCCGGUGACAAACCGGAGGAAGGUGGGGAUGACGUCAAAUCAUCAUGCCCCUUAUGACCUGGGCUACACACGUGCUACAAUGGGAAGUACAACGAGUUGCGAAGUCGCGAGGCUAAGCUAAUCUCUUAAAGCUUCUCUCAGUUCGGAUUGUAGGCUGCAACUCGCCUACAUGAAGCCGGAAUCGCUAGUAAUCGCGGAUCAGCACGCCGCGGUGAAUACGUUCCCGGGCCUUGUACACACCGCCCGUCACACCACGAGAGUUUGUAACACCCGAAGUCGGUGAGGUAACCUUUUUGGAGCCAGCCGCCUAAGGUGGGAUAGAUGAUUGGGGUGAAGUCGUAACAAGGUAGCCGUAUCGGAAGGUGCGGCUGGAUCACCU
rnacentral:rRNA from 2 species